GAAAAAUCACCAUAAAAAUUUGAUUUUUAAGCUCAAAUUAACCUCACCUUACCUUACCUGCAUUGCAAAUUGUGUUGUACUCUAGGACGGAUGGAUAAUGUCGGACUUUUCUCAAUCACCGACAAUCGCUUUCGGUUCUUGUGCUUAUCCCUUUUUUUAUUAAUAUUUCCUAGUCUUAAAGGUUGGCCUCUUGCAGUCCUUAAGAAAAAUAUUCGCCAAGAAUUCGUAUCAUUCUAGAGUGAUGGAAAAACAUAAAAAAUUAAAAAAAUACCGCAAAAGAAUAUCGGAUGAUUACCUUUGCCCCACCUUUAGAAAAAACAGACAUUUGUGUUUAUUUGUGGUAGUUGGUAAGGGUAUAAUGUUUUAAACUAGUUUAAAGUAGUUUUAGAGUAACUUUUGAGUUCUCAUUUAAUUGUCUUUAUUCCCUUCAUGGUCUAUGGUCACUUUAUUAGAAGAAACUAAAUGGAUCAUUGAACCACUUGACCUCUGACCAAAGACAGACCGUUCCAGACCUUAGCUAAAGUAAAAUUAAUUAACGUAACGGCAAACUUUGGCCACUGCAAUCUUUUGUCAUAGUUUCUCUUGAAACCGAGUUUCUUGGUCCACCAGCUUUUCCCUCGGCCCCAAAACUCCCACCCAACUUAAUACUACCAAACGAAAAAUGUCACGCAAACAACAAAGCAACAAAAGCUGCGAUGGGUAAAAAAUUGCGGGACAUGGCAAAGGCAAACAAAACUUCAAACUGGCAGUCAGCCAUUUAAGGGAGAAGUGCUACGCGACUCCGCAGAAGCCCCGGGGCGGAUGAAAGCCCCUGGCUCACCAUUUUCCCAAAAGGAUAGUCGGCAGCCAUUUUGGACUUGCAAGUUUUUAGUAAGCGUAAUAUUUUUUGUUCGUCCUUUUGAUUUGUGCAAUUUUUUGAAGUCGGCAUCUUCUGCCACUGGAGGAACUUUAAUUGUUUUCCAACUGUCCAGCUAAACAUUUUUUGGGUGCACAAUUAAGCAGUGGGUCAGAAUGGACCAAAUCCAAGACCAAGACCAACCCAAUCCCAUUCCCAUCUAUUCAUUCCAUCCAUCUUGCCCAGUGAUCCUGGGGCAUAAAUCUUUAGAUUUACACUGAAAUGCAAUUGGCGUUAGCAUUUGGUGUUGCGUUUCAUUUGUUUGCCACCGAAAAUUGAAUUUCUCGUUUAGCGGAAAACAAUAAACAAACGAGUGGAAAUGGCAAAAGGCGACGAAGCGCAGCAUGUAGACCAUGAAUUCCACCAUGGACGGUGGUGCAUGGAGCAUGAAGCAGAGCAUGGGUUGGCAACAAUUGAAACAGGUGCUGGCCAUGCAUAUGCCACAUUCCAUGUACUCUGUUUUUUGGUUUUCAACAGGUUAAAGUCAUUCUUUAAUUAAAAAAUAUGUGCAGCUGCAGUAGAAAAAUUCAUAAAAUUCCAACUUCAACCAGAGAUUAUGCCUAAUGCUUACUUAAAUGCGUGUGGAGGUUUGCACUCGUUCACGAUGCUCGAUGCUGCCUCUCUUAGCCACGUUUACGGGUAUGGGUCUAAAAUCCCGAUAAAAGCAUAAUAUAAAAGGUUUUGUUAGCUGGAUUUAAUCGCUGUUGCACAGUGUAACAAUGUGUUAAAAUGCAUUCUGAUUGAAAUAAUUAGGAAAUUCUAUUACGUUUUGACGAUUAUGGUUUCAAAAUAUUAACAUAAAUAUUUAAGUACCCCAUUGUUGUUGAAAGCUACUAACUAACAAUACCGUAUAAAUUAGCCACAUAAUUAAAACAAAUAUUGAUAUAUUUACAAA